UCCAGGGAUGGUGACUCCACCAUUUCCCCAGCUGCUCUGUCCUGUGAAGGCUGUGACACCAGAGCCUCUGGACUUUCAUCCUUGGAUGUGAAACCCUGCCCAGCCCCACCUCAGCUGCCUGAAUCUUCUUUUCCCUGCCUUGGAGGGAGAGUCAAGGACUUCAUUUCAGGGAGCUACUGGAAGACUGAAACUCAAAAUAGCAACUGCUGUUUGCAUUCUGAGAAGUAGCCCCAGCCUUCUGCUUCCACCCAUGUCAGAAAGGAUUUUAGGACUGGACCUAAGGUUUCUGACCCUGAAUCUAAAUUUCAGUAAGUGUACAUUAUUUGAAUAAUUAAGAAUUGAUCUAUUUAUUAAAAAAAUGUAGAGUCAAAACAA